GCAGCAGGGGAGGUUUAGGUUGGAUAUUGGGAGAAAUUUAUUCACUGAGAGGGUUGUGAAGUCUUGGAACGGGCUGCACAGGGAAGCAGCUGGGUCACCAUCACUGGAGGUCUUCAGAAAACGUGUAGAUGUGGUGCUUAGGGACAUGGUUUAGG